UUUAGUUCAAACCCCCGAAACUAAGUGAGCUACCCCGAGACAGCCUAUCAAUUAGGGCCAACCCAUCUCUGUGGCAAAAGAGUGGGAAGAGCUCCGGGUAGAGGUGACAAACCUACCGAACUUAGUUAUAGCUGGUUACCUAAGAAAUGAAUAAAAGUUCAGCCUCGCACUCCUUGCCUCACAAACAUCUAAAGCCUACACGAGCCAAAGAAAUAUGCGAGAGUUAGUCAAAGGGGGUACAGCCCCUUUGAAACAGGACACAACCUCACACAGGAGGUUAAAGAUUAUACUAAACAAGAUACACCGCUUUAGUGGGCCUAAAAGCAGCCACCUAAGCAGAUAGCGUUAAAGCUCCAGCGGACUAAAAAUCUAUUAUCCAAAUAAUUUAUCUAAAACCCCUAACAAUAUUAGGUCGCCCCAUGCCUACAUGGAAAAGAUACUGCUAAAAUGAGUAAUAAGAAGGAACCCCCUUCUCCUAGCCUACGUGUAUAUUAGAUCGGACCCCCCACUAAUAAUUAUCGAACCCAACCAAAGAGGGUAAUGUGACCACACUAAACAACAAGAAAACAUCACACCACCAAAUCGUUAAUCCCACACCGGAAGGCCCACAAGGAAAGACUAAAAGAAAAGGAAGGAACUCGGCAAACCCAAGCCUCGCCUGUUUACCAAAAACAUCGCCUCCUGCAAAAUCAAUGUAUAGGAGGUCCUACCUGCCCAGUGACAAGUUAAACGGCCGCGGUAUUUUGACCGUGCGAAGGUAGCGCAAUCACUUGUCUUUUAAAUGAAGACCUGUAUGAAUGGUGGAACGAGGGCUUAACUGUCUCCCUUUUCCAGUCAAUGAAAUUGAUCUGCCCGUGCAGAAGCGGACAUAUUAAUACAAGACGAGAAGACCCUUUGGAGCUUAAGAUAAAAGAUCAACUAUGUCAAGAAACUAAGAACAUAGCUUAAACUAAGUAGCGACUGAUCCUUGUCUUCAGUUGGGGCGACUGCGGAAGAAAACAAAGCUUCCACGAGGAUUGGGACAAAUAUCCUAAAGCCGAGAAAGACACUUCUAAGCCACAGAACAUCUGACCAUAUAAGAUCCGGCCACCAGCCGAUCAACGGACCAAGUUACCCUAGGGAUAACAGCGCAAUCCCCUUUCAGAGUUCAUAUCGACAAGGGGGUUUACGACCUCGAUGUUGGAUCAGGACAUCCUAAUGGUGCAGCCGCU
rnacentral:rRNA from 1 species